UACAGAGGUCUCAAGCGUUGUUCGGAUUCAUUGGGCGUAAAGGGUGCGUAGGCGGCGCGGUAAGUCGGGUGUGAAAUCUUGGAGCUUAACUCCGAAACUGCAUUCGAUACUGCCGUGCUUGAGGACUGGAGAGGAGACUGGAAUUUACGGUGUAGCGGUGAAAUGCGUAGAUAUCGAUAAGGAAGACCAGUGGCGAAGGCGGGUCUCUGGACAGUUCCUGACGCUGAGGCACGAAGGUCAGGGGAGCAAACGGG
rnacentral:rRNA from 1 species